rnacentral:misc_RNA from 1 species
AUUACAGAGUUACCAAACUCACCAAAACCAUCGCGAACGUUACCCGUACCGUUGCCUCGGCGGGCGGCUCCAUCCCGGAGCCGCAGCCCCCUCACCGGGGCGGCCCGCCGGAGGUCAGCCGGAGAAAAACUCUUUUGUCCUCUAGGGCCUCUCUGAGUAUUUUUGUACUAAACAAGUCAAAACUUUCAACAACGGAUCUCUUGGUUCUGGCAUCGAUGAAGAACGCAGCGAAAUGCGAUAAGUAAUGUGAAUUGCAGAAUUCAGUGAAUCAUCGAAUCUUUGAACGCACAUUGCGCCCGCCAGUAUUCUGGCGGGCAUGCCUGUUCGAGCGUCAUUUCAACCAUCAAGCCCGGCUUGUGUUGGGGACCCUGCGGCUGCCCGCAGGCCCCGAAAUCCAGUGGCGGGCUCGCUGUCACCCCGAGCGCAGUAGAGGUAGUAAUAACCACAUCCUCGCUCAGGGCCGUGAGGGCGGGCUCCAGCCGUUAAAGUGACUUUACCCCACAAAACAAGGUUGACCUCGGAUCAGGUAGGAGUACCCGCUGAACUUAAGCAUAUCAAUAAGCGGAGGAAAAGAAACCAACAGGGAUUGCCCUAGUAACGGCGAGUGAAGCGGCAACAGCUCAAAUUUGAAAUCUGGCCUCGGCCCGAGUUGUAAUUUGUAGAGGAAGCUU